rnacentral:rRNA from 1 species
UACGUAGGGUGCAAGCGUUAAUCGGAAUUACUGGGCGUAAAGCGUGCGCAGGCGGCUUUGCAAGACAGAUGUGAAAUCCCCGGGCUCAACCUGGGAACUGCAUUUGUGACUGCAAAGCUAGAGUGCGGCAGAGGGGGAUGGAAUUCCGCGUGUAGCAGUGAAAUGCGUAGAUAUGCGGAGGAACACCGAUGGCGAAGGCAAUCCCCUGGGCCUGCACUGACGCUCAUGCACGAAAGCGUGGGGAGCAAACAGG